rnacentral:tRNA from 1 species
UGGAUCUUAGUUUAAAAAAACAAUUAAUUUGCAAUUAGUAGAUAUAUUAAUAUUUAGGUCUAA